AUGGAGGUGAGGUUCCCCUUUAUCCUCUCUUUCUCUUCACCGCAGGCAGCCCCUGACCCCCCUUGGAUUCGAUUUGGCAGGUCGUGUGCAGGCGGGGAAGGACAGGGUGGCACGCCUCGUGCGCGAGCUCGAGGGCGUCGGCCUGCUCGUCGAGCGUGUCCGCGACGUCCCCGCCGAGUUCAUCAAGCUGUCCGCGCCCAUGGGGAUUCUGGGUAG
rnacentral:rRNA from 1 species